AUUGAACGCUGGCGGCAGGCCUAACACAUGCAAGUCGAACGGUAACAGGAAGCAGCUUGCUGCUUUGCUGACGAGUGGCGGACGGGUGAGUAAUGUCUGGGAAACUGCCUGAUGGAGGGGGAUAACUACUGGAAACGGUAGCUAAUACCGCAUAACGUCGCAAGACCAAAGAGGGGGACCUUCGGGCCUCUUGCCAUCGGAUGUGCCCAGAUGGGAUUAGCUAGUAGGUGGGGUAACGGCUCACCUAGGCGACGAUCCCUAGCUGGUCUGAGAGGAUGACCAGCCACACUGGAACUGAGACACGGUCCAGACUCCUACGGGAGGCAGCAGUGGGGAAUAUUGCACAAUGGGCGCAAGCCUGAUGCAGCCAUGCCGCGUGUAUGAAGAAGGCCUUCGGGUUGUAAAGUACUUUCAGCGGGGAGGAAGGGAGUAAAGUUAAUACCUUUGCUCAUUGACUUAU
rnacentral:rRNA from 1 species